rnacentral:rRNA from 1 species
GACGUAGGGGGCAAGCGUUAAUCGGAAUUACUGGGCGUAAAGCGUGCGCAGGCGGUGAUGUAAGACAGGUGUGAAAUCCCCGGGCUUAACCUGGGAACUGCAUCCGAUACUGGAUGGCUUGAAUCCGGGAGAGGGAUGCAGAAUUCCAGGUGUAGCGGUGAAAUGCGUAGAUAUCUGGAGGAAUACCGGUGGCGAAGGCGGCAUCCUGGGCUAACACUGACGCUCAUGCACGAAAGCGUGGGGAGCAAACAGG